rnacentral:rRNA from 1 species
AUUGAACGCUGGCGGCAGGCCUAACACAUGCAAGUCGAGCGGAUGAAGGGAGCUUGCUCCUGGAUUCAGCGGCGGACGGGUGAGUAAUGCCUAGGAAUCUGCCUGGUAGUGGGGGAUAACGUCCGGAAACGGGCGCUAAUACCGCAUACGUCCUGAGGGAGAAAGUGGGGGAUCUUCGGACCUCACGCUAUCAGAUGAGCCUAGGUCGGAUUAGCUAGUUGGUGGGGUAAAGGCCUACCAAGGCGACGAUCCGUAACUGGUCUGAGAGGAUGAUCAGUCACACUGGAACUGAGACACGGUCCAGACUCCAACGGGAGGCAGCAGUGGGGAAUAUUGGACAAUGGGCGAAAGCCUGCUCCAGCCAUGCCGCGUGUGUGAAGAAGGUCUUCGGAUUGUAAAGCACUUUACGUUGGGAGGAAGGGCAGUAAGUUAAUACCUUGCUGUUUUGACGUUACCUACAGAAUAAGCACCGGCUAACUUCGUG